CCCCACCCCUUCUUUGAUUUUGGCCCCAGUCUAAAAUUUCUGAUUUCGUCAAUAUCUUGUAUGAGAGAUAUGAAGGGGAAAGAAUGAACAAUAUCCUCUAGAGUCUCAAAACGGAGCUGAACCCAAAUCCCUGCUUUGGAGAGUUUCAAUAAUUCAGAGAAGCAAUGCAAAAUUUAUCUUGGUCUAUUUGGCUUUUAAGCAUAAUCAAUGAUGUUUUCUUGUCUCUCGUUUUUCUAAUGGGUUCGCCUACGCCGCUGAUGACACCUAUUUUCUUUGCCAACUCAUCAACUCUCGCCGAAUUGCUUGAAUCUAAUUAGGAUUGGAGAAUGAACAUUGAUUCCUCGAUGGAGCUGGAAACUGAUCACAAACCCGCGAUGCAGUUUGGGAGUGCCACACAAGUUAAAUUGAAGCAUCGAUCCCUCUCUUUGUGCUUUCUCCCCUUGAAAGUGUAACAGCAGAUGCUGAAGUAAACAAGUUGAAGUAUACAGACCCGAAUUUCUUUACCCAAAAUUCAUUGAGUUUGAGGGCAUUGCUGAUAUUACAAAUAAUUGCUUUGAGAACAAGGUUUCAUUCAAGACUAUGUUUUGUACAUUGGUGCCUAGCUAGCUCAAAUCUCUUCUAUUUAUAAUAACUAGAUAGUGUUCUUCUCACACUGGAAUAUUAAUUUAUAUAGAUAAGAAAUCCAUCAUGAUUUAUAUAACAUCAAUCACGGUGCUGUCUAAUCACCUAUAGAAGUAAGUUUGCCCCAAAGUUAUCUAAGAUGAUAUGGAGAUUGUUGUAAAGUCAUCCACAUUAA